rnacentral:rRNA from 1 species
GACGAACGCUGGCGGCGUGCUUAACACAUGCAAGUCGAACGGAAAGGCCCUGCUUUUGUGGGGUGCUCGAGUGGCGAACGGGUGAGUAACACGUGAGUAACCUGCUCUUGUCUUUGGGAUAACUUCAGGAAACUGGGGCUAAUACCGGAUCGGAGCUCCUGUUGCAUGGAGGGGGUUGGAACGUCUCGGCGGUUGGGGAUGGACUAGCGGCUUAUGAGCUUGCUGGUGGGGUAGUGGCUUACCAAGGCAGUGACGGGUAGCCGGCCUGUGAGGGUGGACGGCCACAAUGGGCCUGAGAGACGGACCAGAGUCGAACGGGAGGCAGCGGUGGGGAGUAUUGCACAGUGGGCGGAAGCCUGAUGCAGCAACGCCGCGUUCGUGAAGACGGCCUGCGGGGUGUAAACCGCAUUCGCCUGAGACGAAGCGGUAGUGACGGUAAUGGGUAAAGAAGCACCGGCUAACUACGUG